CUGGCAGUGGAGACUAAACCUUCAAGACAAAGACACAAGUAACACACGUGCAUAGCUCAGUUAUUUUGUUUUCUUUACUUCUCACAGUAACACACGUGCAUAGCUCAGUUAUUUUUGAAGCCUGUAGAAGAAUGAGUGUGGGUGGUAUCCUCUACCUACGUCCCAAGGGAAACCACUCUGAACAGCUUGGAGGCUUACAGAUUCCAAGUGUUAGGUGCUGGAUCCCGUCAAGGAAGACGAGCUACGCACAUGGUAUUACUUGCUACCUCCCAUCUUCCUCCCUCCUUCCCAGGCCAUUAGCUUUCUGUGUACAUGUACAAACAACCAACUCAAAUGUCCGUAGUAUCCUGAUCAGAAAUAAUCAUCAUCUGAGCUAGCCUGGUGUCACAUAUCUGUAAAGCCCUCUCCAGGAUCCCAGUUCCCCUUGUUUCUAUUUUCUGCUCAAAGAAUAAGCAUACCCAAGUCACAGUGGCCCAGCCUCUGUCUCUUGAGUGUGGCAUGUCUAAGAACCUCUGAGUUGAUAAAACAGCACAAUGCUUGGGCGGGAGUCCUGCCUGGGAGGGGCUUCAGAAACAACAAGAAGAGAUAGAGUGCACAGACAGCUUUAAUCCAGCAUUCAGAAGGCAGAGGCAGUCAGAUAACUUUGAGUUCCAGGCCAGCCUGGAACCCUGCCUUGGAAAAAAAAAAAAACCAAAAGGGCAGAACUAAGGUUCUGGAGGACCUGCACAGUGAGGCAUGGGCCCUCUUGAGUCUCCCCCCAUGAUGGCUGACUGACAGAUCCUCUCUUUCCUUGCUAUACUCACCUCCUAUCUCACAGCCUUGCUUCUACCAAGGUUUACAGUGUUCUCUUUCUGCUUCAUCCUCAGCCUGGGCUUAAGCCACGAGUCAGUUAACCUCUCCCUGGCUGGAAGUACACCGCCCCUCCCACAGAAGCUAGCUCCAUCCAGCUCUGAACAGGAACUCAUGGGGCCAACUUCUCCAGCUACAGAAAGUCGGCUCUAGGAGGACUCCAGUGGCUGAGGGCUCACCAUAGGCCUACGAGAAGCACAUAGAUGAAGAGCUAGCUGCUCUCAGGGGGGCCCUCCACCCAGUGCUCCAAUCCACACCCCAGCACGGGGUAAGAGCGUGCCAUAACUCUUUGGGAAGAGAUAGAAAUGCCCCAGUUUUA
rnacentral:sRNA from 1 species